rnacentral:rRNA from 1 species
AACGAACGCUGGCGGCAUGCCUAACACAUGCAAGUCGAACGAGACCUUCGGGUCUAGUGGCGCACGGGCGCGUAACGCGUGGGAAUCUACCCUUGGGUUCGGAAUAACAGUUAGAAAUGACUGCUAAUACCGGAUGAUGACGUAAGUCCAAAGAUUUAUCGCCCAAGGAUGAGCCCGCGUAAGAUUAGCUUGUUGGUGGGGUAAUGGCCUACCAAGGCGACGAUCUUUAGCUCGUCUGAGAGGAUGAUUAGCCACACUGGGACUGAGACACGGCCCAGACUCCUACGGGAGGCAGCAGUGGGGAAUAUUGGACAAUGGGCGAAAGCCUGAUCCAGCAAUGCCGCGUGAGUGAUGAAGGCCUUAGGGUUGUAAAGCUCUUUUACCAGGGAUGAUAAUGACAGUACCUGGAGAAUAAGCUCCGGCUAACUCCGUGCCAGCCACCGCCGUAA